UACAGAGGAGCCAAGCGUUGUCCGGAUUGACUGGGCGUAAAGCGCACGCAGGCGGAUGCGCGCGUGGGGUGUGAAAUCUGGCCGCUUAACGGCCAGGCGCCAUCCCAUACGGCGCGUCUGGAGUGAUGCAGAGGUCGGUGGAAUUGCCGGUGUAGUGGUGAAAUGCGUAGAGAUCGGCAGGAACACCCAGGGGGAAACCAGCCGACUGGGCAUGCCUACUGGACGCUGAGGUGCGAGAGCGUGGGGAGCGAACGG
rnacentral:rRNA from 1 species